AGAAAUGCACUGCCACAUCACAGGCAACUCAAUCCAGAUUUGCUUUGGAAAUAAAUCAGAGUUGACAGCUGAAUGUUUUGUGAGUUGGAAAUAAUUGCCAUUCCAAGGAAGAAGUUGCCAUUGGAAAUUCUCAUCUGAUCCCCCCACUCCCUGUCCAUACACAUAUGUGGAGGGAGAGGAAAUGGGAUGGAAAGAAACCACAGCAAUUCUUCUGGGACUUUGGAUAAAUUAUAGCAAUCACCAGCCAAUCCCUCUGCAAUAUCAGAAAUACAGCUUAAUGAUGUAACGUUAGAAAAUGUUGACAAUUUCUGCUACCUUGGCAGCUACCUCUCCACAAAAGUCAACACUGACAUUGAAAUACAACACUGCCUGAGCUCUGCAAGUGCAGCAUUUUUCCAAAUGAAGCAGAGUGUGUUUGAGGACUGGGACAUCUGUAGGGAUACCAAGGUCCUUGUUUAUAAAGCUAUUGUCCUCCCAACCCUGCUAUAUGCUUGCAAAACGUGAACUUUCUACAGAUGUCAUAUGCAACUCCUGGAACAAUUCCAUCAGCGUUGCCUCAGAAAAAUCCUGUAAACCUCUUGGGAAGACAGGUGGACAAAUGUCAGCAUGCUGGAAGAAGCACUGAAGCAAUGCUCCUACACCAUCAACUCCGCUGGAUUGGCCAUGUUGUCCAAAUACCCAAUUAUCAUCUCCCAAAGCAGUUAUUAUACUCCCAACUCAAGAACAGGAAAUGUAAUGUUGGUGGACAGGAAAAGAGGUGGACAGGACAACCUUAAAAACUGUGGCAUAGACACUCAGAACUGAGAAACCCUGGCUCUUGAGUGCUCUAACUGGAGGUCAGCUGUGACCAGCAGUGCUGCCGAAUCCAAUGAGGCAUGAAUGGAGGGCGAAAGGGAGAAAUGUGCCAAGAGGAAGACACACCAAGCCAACCCUAACCGAGACUGCCUUCCACCUGGAAACCGAUGUCCUCACUGCGGGAAAACAUGUGGAUCAAGAAUAGGGCUCCACAGCCAGUUAUGGACCCACCACCAAGACACUACACUUGGAGGACCAUCAUCCUUGGGCUACAAGGAAUCAUCUAAGUGUCAUCAGCAUGAGUUUAAAGGAACACUGGCAGAGGCUCAAUCCAGAAAGACCAGAACCUGGCUUCCCUAGUCAAUGAAUGAACUAACAUGUUGUCAACGAUGUUUUUAUUUGUUGCAACCAUAGACAGGAGUUGGGGUUGCCUUUGAAGACGGCCCAGAAGCUUCAAUUGGUCCAACAUGCGGCAGCCAUGAUACUAACAGGAGCAGGACGCAGGGAGCAUACAACCCCCUUGUUGUACCAGUUCCACUGGCUGCCGAUUUGCUACCGGGCUCAAUUCAAGGUGUUGGCGUUGGCCUAUAAAGCCCUAAACAGUUCCGGCCCAAAAUACCUAUCCGACCGCAUUUCAACCUACGAGCCCACCAGGACUUUGAGAUCUUCCGGGGAGGCCCUGCUCUCGAUCCCGCCUGCCUCACAGGCACGGCUGGUGGGGACGAGAGAUAGGGCCUUCUCAGUGGUGGCUCCUUGGCUGUGGAACACCCUUCCCGUAGACAUCAGACUGGCUCCUUCCCUGAUGAUAUUCCGCAGGAAAUUAAAGACUUGGUUGUUCAAGAAGGCAUUCGAACAAGAAGUGCAAUGAUUGGUAAUGACUAUAGGAAUGGAACAACGGAAAAGGAUACUGGAUUGUGGUUUGGACAAUGAGACGACGCGGAAUGGCUUUUGUAGUAAUGAUGAU